rnacentral:rRNA from 1 species
UUUAAGUCUCCUGAAGGAACGUUAAAGACGAUGACGUUGAUAGGCCGGGUGUGUAAGCGCAGCGAUGCGUUGAGCUAACCGGUACUAAUGAACCGUGAGGCUUAACCUU